rnacentral:snRNA from 1 species
GUACUCACUUUGGCACCACAUAUAAUAAAACUGAAUGGUAUGAAGCAGAGCAGGCAUGYCUCUACAUAAGAAUGACAUGCAAAUUUGUGAAGACUUCCAUAUUUUU